AAUGACACGAUCACUCCCGUUGAGC
rnacentral:miRNA from 2 species